CACCUUGAGUGGUUAAGGCUCCCAGUAGACGACUGGGUUGAUAGGCCAGAUGUGGAAGCCCGGUAACGGGUGGAGCUGACUGGUACUAAUAGGCCGAGGGCUUGUCCU
rnacentral:rRNA from 1 species